AGAGUUUGAUUCUGGCUCAGGAUGAACGCUAGCUACAGGCUUAACACAUGCAAGUCGAGGGGCAGCAUUGGAGUAGCAAUACUUCAGAUGGCGACCGGCGCACGGGUGAGUAACACGUAUCCAACCUGCCGCUUACUCGGGGAUAGCCUUUCGAAAGAAAGAUUAAUACCCGAUGGUAUAAAGAGUUCGCAUGUUCUCUUUAUUAAAGAAUUUCGGUAAGCGAUGGGGAUGCGUUCCAUUAGAUUGUUGGCGGGGUAACGGCCCACCAAGUCUACGAUGGAUAGGGGUUCUGAGAGGAAGGUCCCCCACAUUGGAACUGAGACACGGUCCAAACUCCUACGGGAGGCAGCAGUGAGGAAUAUUGGUCAAUGGACGAGAGUCUGAACCAGCCAAGUAGCGUGAAGGAUGACUGCCCUAUGGGUUGUAAACUUCUUUUAUAAGGGAAUAAAGUGAGGGACGUGUCCCUUUUUGUAUGUACCUUAUGAAUAAGGAUCGGCUAACUCCGUGCCAGCAGCAGC
rnacentral:rRNA from 1 species